rnacentral:lncRNA from 1 species
CAUCAAAUACCCUAGGAUUUAGAAUACGAUUACACAACAACAUUACUUUUUUUUGAAUUUCUAAAGGUUUUCAACAAGGUUUUUAACAGUUCUGGUUUUGCGUCUGUAUCUAUGAAACCAAGACUUUAAUUGUCUAGGUUAUAAAUGCCCCGUUUCCAAGCGCUUGUUGGAAUGUUGCUUCAUAAAAAUGAAAAGCGGACAACAAAAAGAAAAUUAAUGUCAUCUUUUUUAUUGAGUAUAUUUCAUUGGGCCAUUUCUGUUUUGCCUGUAAACGUUCCCAAUGAUUACUAUA